CGGGGCUAGAGGAGCUUGCUCCUCGACGCCUAGUGGCGGACGGGUGAGUAACGCGUGAGUAACCUGCCUUUCAGAGGGGAAUAACGUUCUGAAAAGAACGCUAAUACCGCAUAACGUGCAGCUUUCGCAUGGAAGCAGUACCAAAGGAGCAAUCCGCUGAGAGAUGGACUCGCGUCCGAUUAGCUAGUUGGUGGGGUAAAGGCCUACCAAGGCGACGAUCGGUAGCCGGACUGAGAGGUUGAACGGCCACAUUGGGACUGAGACACGGCCCAGACUCCUACGGGAGGCAGCAGUGGGGGAUAUUGCACAAUGGGGGAAACCCUGAUGCAGCAACGCCGCGUGUGGGAAGAAGGUUUUCGGAUUGUAAACCACUGUUCUUGGUGAAGAUAAUGACGGUAACCAAGGAGAAAGCUCCGGCUAACUACGUGCCAGCAGCCGCGGUAAUACGUAGGGAGCAAGCGUUGUCCGGAUUUACUGGGUGUAAAGGGUGCGUAGGCGGUCUUGCAAGUCAGACGUGAAAACCACAGGCUCAACCUGUGGACUGCGUUUGAAACUGUGGGGCUUGAGUGAAGUAGAGGUAGGCGGAAUUCCCGGUGUAGCGGUGAAAUGCGUAGAGAUCGGGAGGAACACCAGUGGCGAAGGCGGCCUACUGGGCUUUAACUGACGCUGAGGCACGAAAGCAUGGGUAGCAAACAGGAUUAGAUACCCUGGUAGUCCAUGCCGUAAACGAUGAUUACUAGGUGUGGGGGGUCUGACCCCCUCCGUGCCGGAGUUAACACAAUAAGUAAUC
rnacentral:rRNA from 1 species